GCCUUGGUAGCUCAAUUGGUAGAGCGUCAGACUCUUACGGUCCCUCUGACUGGGUAAGAGUCUUGAGGUUGCGGGUUUGAUUCCCGUCUGAGGCA